CCAAAGCAACUACGAAAAAUGUGUUUUCUAUACUAAACCUUUCUGAGUGUAGCCUGAAAAUUCUUCUGCUCAUAUUCAUGAUGCAUGAAAAGUUAACGUCCUAAGGCGUUAUUUCUAUCAAAAACCAACAUGACACAUAUUCACUCUUGUUCAAAUUUUAUACAGCUAGAAUAUAUAAUCACAAAAAUGAAUCCCAAAUCAUGACCUCUGCAUAUAAAGAAAAAAACAUGAAUCAAAAUAGACCAGUACAUAUGCUUCUAACAGGAAUAAAGGCUCAUUAGAUAUCUUAAUACAACAAAAUGGGAAGAAAGGUUUUAGAGUCACUUAUAACUUGUUUCCAACUACCAAUAAUUUAAACAAAAGCGUAGGAUUUUGUAUAUCAGACUAGAAAGAACAUAUAGAAUUUAUAUAGUUAGUUAACAUUAGAACUUAGCUGAAUUCCUAAGACAUAGCAUCUAAUUUAAUAGAUGUGAUGAUGGCUGCUGCCUCAAUCAGUUUCAAAUCUCAUGGAACAGACAACCGUAUCCUAUACUUUGUAACAAUUCUUAUAAGUUAUAACACUAACGUCUUAACCAUUUUAAAGGAGAUAAUCACAAUGCAUUUGUGAAUACAUAUGGACAUGCUAUCAAUUGACGCUUUAGUUUAAAAUGGAGAAGUUAUAAACAUGAUUCCUAAUACAUUGACAGUUACUAAAAAUACUUAGCUCAUGAUUCCGAACAAACAACGAACACAGAAUGAUGGCUUAAAUUAAUUACAUCAGAGGUUAGUAAGAUGCACUUCAAAUAUGUAAAAAGAAAUGAGCGAAGUAACAACAACCUUUCCAAUAUAUGCAGAUUAUAAACAUGCUUAGACCUGCGGAAUCGAAAAGAGGAGAAAAAUCACUGACCUUUUGCGGGCAUCGAACCGAGGCAUUAGCUUUGGAUCUACCGAACUCCGGCCUUGAACUCGCUAAUUUGGAUGAUUGUUAAACGAUGCAAUAGUCAACAAAAUGCAGCACCUCUAGUUAACAAAAUCCAAGAAUAAAACAGUUCCACAGUGCUCAAGAACUUCAAGAUUCAUCCGGACAUCAGGAAAAAUCCUUACUUAAUCUUUCAAUAUAUAUAAAGAUUUCUGACUGGUUUACAAGAAAAUACGAAACCUCAACUGCAUAGGAGCUCAGCGGCUAUGGACUAGCAAUAAUCAACCAUGAACAACCACAGUUCCAAGCUUCAAUAAUUUUUGAGAAAUCCACAGAAGAGGAUUUGAAUUCCUGAUCUUUGGUUACCUUAAGGGAAGAGGAUUUGAAUUCGUUACCUUAGGGAAAGGGAGGUCUGGUCACUGUUGCAGAGAGGAUAGGAGAGGAGUGUCGUUGCUCCUUGGAAAGGAAGGGGUCCAAUGGUCUGGUGAUUUUCAGAAGAUCAGAGAAUGAGCGUUGUUUCCUCUGUUUUGUCCCCC
rnacentral:lncRNA from 1 species